UGGCAUGUCAAAUAUUGCUUCUUCAUCUAUGUACGUGAGGCUUUCAUGUUUCUGAUCAGUACUUGAAACUUCACUGGCAUCCUCCACUCCAGAAUUUGGUAGUGAAUUUUGCAUCAUUACUUCACCAUCUAAUUCUUGACGCCCAAACAUCUCUGCUGCUUGGUGUGCUGCCCUCCUAAUAUCAUUAGCCUCCUUGGAAUCAGGCACCGGCAACUUCCAAGCAGAGUCAGCAAAAUUAAGGCAAGCAGAUUUUCCUCUAAGCGCCAAUGCUGCUACGUCAUGAGCUCUGGCUGCCAUUUCAGGAGUAGGAUACGUACCAAGCCAUAUACGGGACUUCUUCUUAGGCUCCCGGAGCUCACAAACCCACCUUUCAUUUUUCCUUUUCCUGACACCUCUGAAAAUGGGAUGGCGAGUCUCCUUAAAAAUCCUGCGCCCUGCUCGCUUCUUGGGAUGACUAGAUGCUAGCAGCACUUCUUCGUCGGAGUGAGCAGAGCUGCUGGGGGCGGCACUACUGGAGUCGGAAAGCGAAGAGGGUUGGUUCUUGUCAGCAGA
rnacentral:misc_RNA from 1 species